GGGCCUAGCUCAGCUGACAGAGCAUCUGCUUUGCAUGCAGAAGGUCCCAGGUUCAAUCCCUGGCAUCUCCA